ACGCUCGACACCUACGGGAGCAGCAGUAGGGAAUCUUCGGCAAUGGACGCAAGUCUGACCGAGCAACGCCGCGUGAGUGAAGAAGGUUUUCGGAUCGUAAAACUCUGUUGUUAGAGAAGAACAAGGAUGAGAGUGGAAAGUUCAUCCCUUGACGGUAUCUAACCAGAAAGCCACGGCUAACUACGUGGCAGCAGCCGCGGUAAUCUGAGCGGGCUGGCAAGGC
rnacentral:rRNA from 1 species